rnacentral:tRNA from 1 species
GCAAUCGUAGCUCAGUCAGGUAGAGCACCCUGUUGAGGGGGAGGCUGGAAUUCCAGACGGUGGGCGCCCGCCGGCCCCGGUUCAAAUCCGGGCGAUUGCC